AUGCUGUGGCUACUACCCCAGCACCUAAUCCACACAACCAGACAACAUCUGCACAAACUGAAGUUACUGAUGGAGCCAGUGGAAGAUGCUGUGGACCGCCAAAGUGAUGAUGUGGUUGUCACCCACAACACCCAAUCCCCACAACCAGACCACAUCUGCCCAUACUGAAGCUGGUGGUGGAGCAAGUGAAGAUGCUGUGGCUACUACCCCAGCACCUAAUCCAGACAACCAGACAACUUCUGCACAAGCUGAAGUUACUGAUGGAGCCAGUGAAGAUGCUCUGGACCGCCAAAGUGAUGAUGUGGUUGUCACCACAACACCCAAUCCCACAACCAGACCACAUCUGCCCAUACUGAAA
ensembl:lncRNA